rfam:Medicago truncatula strain A17 chromosome 4, whole genome shotgun sequence.
AACAACUCCAGUUGUUCAGUGUUUGAUUUGUAAAACUGUUUCAGGCACAGGACAAACUGGAGGUAAGAGACAAGAUAA